rnacentral:rRNA from 1 species
CCUACGGGGUGCAGCAGUGGGGAAUAUUGGACAAUGGGCGAAAGCCUGAUCCAGCCAUGCCGCGUGUGUGAAGAAGGCCUUCGGGUUGUAAAGCACUUUCAGUGGGGAAGAAAGCCUUGGGGCUAAUACCCUCGAGGAAGGACAUCACCCACAGAAGAAGCACCGGCUAACUCCGUGCCAGCAGCCGCGGUAAUACGGAGGGUGUGAGCGUUAAUCGGAAUUACUGGGCGUAAAGCGCGCGUAGGCGGUCUGAUAAGCCGGUUGUGAAAGCCCCGGGCUCAACCUGGGAACGGCAUCCGGAACUGUCAGGCUAGAGUGCAGGAGAGGAAGGUAGAAUUCCCGGUGUAGCGGUGAAAUGCGUAGAGAUCGGGAGGAAUACCAGUGGCGAAGGCGGCCUUCUGGACUGACACUGACGCUGAGGUGCGAAAGCGUGGGUAGCAAACAGGAUUAGAUACCCGAGUAGUC